rnacentral:rRNA from 1 species
AUUGAACGCUGGCGGUAUGCUUAACACAUGCAAGUCGAACGGUAACAGGCCUUCGGGCGCUGACGAGUGGCGGACGGGUGAGUAACGCGUAGGAAUCUGCCUUAUAGUGGGGGACAACGUGGGGAAACCCACGCUAAUACCGCAUACGCCCUACGGGAGAAAGUGGGGGAUCUUCGGACCUCACGCUAUCAGAUGAGCCUAGGUCGGAUUAGCUAGUUGGUGAGGUAAAGGCUCACCAAGGCGACGAUCCGUAACUGGUCUGAGAGGAUGAUCAGUCACACUGGAACUGAGACACGGUCCAGACUCCUACGGGAGGCUG